GUCGACGUACUUCAUAGGAUCAUUUCUAUAGGUCACGUCCCUCUUUGACUCUUCAAAAGAGCCACUGAAUCCAACUUGGUUGAUGAGUGAGAUACCCUUAUACCCUCAAAGUGAGAUACUAGUUUAGCUUGUCCGUGAUUCUUUGCAAUCCGGUCAUCUACGUUUUGUUUGCCUUUUAGUAUAAUCGCCUGCGGUAUUUUGGAUUCGUUCCAAUAGCUGCUAAUGAUUUAAAAGGAGCGAUGAUCUUUACCCUUUGUGACAUGCCUUCUAGGAGGACUUUGCAUUGGGUGGGUAUAAGUGGCUGUCUGACAAGU
rnacentral:snoRNA from 20 species